rnacentral:rRNA from 1 species
AGUGAACGCUGGCGGUAGGCCUAACACAUGCAAGUCGAACGGCAGCACAGUAAGAGCUUGCUCUUACGGGUGGCGAGUGGCGGACGGGUGAGGAAUACAUCGGAAUCUACUUUUUCGUGGGGGAUAACGUAGGGAAACUUACGCUAAUACCGCAUACGACCUACGGGUGAAAGCAGGGGAUCUUCGGACCUUGCGCGAUUGAAUGAGCCGAUGUCGGAUUAGCUAGUUGGCGGGGUAAAGGCCCACCAAGGCGACGAUCCGUAGCUGGUCUGAGAGGAUGAUCAGCCACACUGGAACUGAGACACGGUCCAGACUCCUACGGGAGGCAGCAGUGGGGAAUAUUGGACAAUGGGCGCAAGCCUGAUCCAGCCAUACCGCGUGGGUGAAGAAGGCCUUCGGGUUGUAAAGCCCUUUUGUUGGGAAAGAAAAGCAGCAGGUUAAUACCCCGCUGUUCUGACGGUACCCAAAGAAUAGACACCGGCUAACUUCGU